GUCCACGCCGUAAACGAUGGUCACUAGUUGUUGGGUAUUUAUACUCGGUGACUAAGCGAAAGUGAUAAGUGACCCACCUGGGGAGUACGAUCGCAAGAUUGAAACUCAAAGGAAUUGACGGGGGCCCGCACAAGCGGUGGAGCAUGUGGUUUAAUUCGAUGAUACGCGAGGAACCUUACCAGGGCUUAAAUGUAAGUUGCAUAGAUCAGAGAUGGUCUUUUCUUCGGACUACUUACAAGGUGCUGCAUGGUUGUCGU
rnacentral:rRNA from 1 species